rnacentral:lncRNA from 1 species
UCACCUCUUUCCUUUCAUCUUUCUCGUAUCUAUAUUCCUUCUGUCUCUAUUCUCUCUCUCUCUUUCUCUAGGUUUUUAUAAUAAAUUUGCCUCCAUCAUAAACAUACUACCACGAGGAUCUUUUCAGCAUCAUCACCUCACGUCGUGGCCACUAUCGUUGUACCCAUCACCGGUGACGCUAGAAGUGGCGUCGAUGAGACCGGAUGAGGCGCCUCCUUAUGUCGCCUUUCACUCGAUUCUAGGGCUACGAAUACACAGAUACACAAUAGCAAAAACAAAAAGAAACACUUCUGCUCUUCGUGUUCUUCUUUCUUCUUUUUUAGACCAAGACCUACAAGUCAAUUAUUGGCAAAAUGAGUACUCUUUAAGAUCCAUCAGGUAAUCAACCUUAUUGGCUAUUUGAUUAUUCGAUUUUCUGAUUUUGAAUACGAGAGAGUCUUUGGUUCCCUACUUUAUACUUAGCGGAUUUCUGAUUAUGAAAUUUCCAAGUUCCGAUUUCUGAAAUGUGAAGAAUGAAGUUUGAUUUCUGAUUCUGAAAACCAAUAUGAAUAUUGCUAUUUUUUGCUAAUCUGAUUCUUAAUGAACGAGAAUUUUAGCCCAAUUUACUUAUUUUUUUUAACUUUACUUUUUGCUCCUUUGUAUUUGAAUUCGUUUUUCUUUUAAUUGUAGUUUUCUGUAAGUUCUUUAAGGUUCUUAUAUCAUCUGAAUGUGACAUUUGUGCUUUUUUUGUGAGAACGAGAGCAAAAACUGAUUUUUUUUUUCUUGAUUAAGUUAUAAUCAUUAGUGACUAAACGAAGCAAUAUUCUUCGAGUUUAAUCAUUAAGAAGGUUUACUUCUUGAAUCUAUAAGAGGUUUUAGGAUUGUGCUUUAUUCAUUUAUGCAUAUUUGUUUUUUUGUUUGAUUUUUAAUAUAGAUUUAGUUCUUGUGGAUGAUUACAGUCGUUCUUUAUUCAUUUCAUAUUAAAUGUGUAUUUGGUUAAUGAGUUAAGCACUUUGUUUACAAAUAAUACAAUUUUUUUUGAUUUCUUGUAGAUUGACCGACUUAAUACGGAUAGCCUAAAUGAUUAUAAUGAUGAAAGAUGAAGAAUGCACAUAGACAACAACUUGGAACGAGUCGAAAUUUAUUUAUAUUAAGACAUUAUAAUUUUUCAUUUGUGAUUAUAAUUGUAUUCAUAUAUGAUUGUAAAUGUGUUUUGUUUAUUUAUUUAUUCCAAAGUUGAUGUUUGAUUUUUUAAAUUUUAUAUUGUGCUUUAUUCAUUUACGAUUAUAUUUGUAUUUAUUAAAGACAAUAGUAUUUUAUAUUUAUAAAUGAAAAUGUGCAUUCAUAUAUGAAUGCAUGUCUCG